rnacentral:rRNA from 1 species
UGGGGAAUAUUGCACAAUGGGCGCAAGCCUGAUGCAGCCAUGCCGCGUGUAUGAAGAAGGCCUUCGGGUUGUAAAGUACUUUCAGCGGGGAGGAAGGUGUUGAGGUUAAUAACCUCAGCAAUUGACGUUACCCGCAGAAGGAGCACCGGCUAACUCCGUGCCAGCAGCCGCGGUAAUACGGAGGGUGCAAGCGUUAAUCGGAAUUACUGGGCGUAAAGCGCACGCAGGCGGUCUGUCAAGUCGGAUGUGAAAUCCCCGGGCUCAACCUGGGAACUGCAUUCGAAACUGGCAGGCUAGAGUCUUGUAGAGGGGGGUAGAAUUCCAGGUGUAGCGGUGAAAUGCGUAGAGAUCUGGAGGAAUACCGGUGGCGAAGGCGGCCCCCUGGACAAAGACUGACGCUCAGGUGCGAAAGCGUGGGGAGCAAACA